CGGGAAAUGACAACAGAAAGGCCGUGCAACAGUGCAAACUGGGGUGUCUGACCGGGAAAUGCUCCACUGCAUGACUGAGGUGACCAGGCUCCGUAGCCGCGUGCACUGGUUACGGGCUACGCUCCUCUGGCUUCCUCCGGAGUCCUGUCUGGUCAGAGCUCCUGCAGACAGUGCAAUUUCUCAUUAUAUGGACCUUACAUGUCACAUCUGCAACAAGAUAGAGCUUACAAAGAGGCUCGUUUUUAAUGGAACUUUACCUGCUACAUUAAAGAUGUUCUUGUAUGUAUACAAACAGCAGCCACUAUUAAAUAGUGCAGUCAUUUAUUUACAACUAACAAUGGCAUAGACUUAAGUUCCAGGGGGGAAAAAGCAAUUAGUGACUAAUCGUCAUUUUGUGUGUGUGUUUGUUUGUGCAUUUGAGACUGUACUAUCAGAGCUUUUUGGCUAUGCUAUAAAAUCAGGGUCUUAAGGGGAGUGAAACUUUGCACAUUACAUGGGCCUGUAGUAGCAGGGUAAUUGCUUAUCUUUCAGAAACGGAGAGGCAUUAAAGAAUUCAAACACUGGGGGUGUAAAUUAAAUAAAUGAUUGUGUGACUGUCUUUUGCACUUCUU